UACGUAGGGGGGCAAGCGUUGUCCGGAAUCAUUGGGCGUAAAGAGCUCGUAGGCGGCUUGUCGCGUCGGCUGUGAAAACCCGGGGCUCAACCCCGGGCCUGCAGUCGAUACGGGCAGGCUAGAGUCCGGUAGGGGAGACUGGAAUUCCUGGUGUAGCGGUGAAAUGCGCAGAUAUCAGGAGGAACACCGGUGGCGAAGGCGGGUCUCUGGGCCGGAACUGACGCUAAGGAGCGAAAGCGUGGGGAGCGAACAGG
rnacentral:rRNA from 1 species